UGACACUUGGAAUCAUGGGUUAGUUAGUGGUGGCCUUGGCAGUGUUGGGGUAAAGAUUGUACUCAAUGAUCUUAGAGGGCUUUUGCAACCUGAAUGAUCCCAUUAUUCUGCUGGUUUUUCCCCAGGGAGCUCAUUGUUGCAUAACAGGAGAUGAUUUGUACUGAGGAUCUGCUUAAAGCCUCUGGGACCGGGCUCUGCUGUGGGGGAAGUCCAGCCUGCCAGUCCCAUGGCUGCUCUCCCCUCUGAGGGAGGGAGGCCACAGGCAGUGAGGAUCUAAAUGGGAGGAACUAAUGACAGCAGAAAUCUGGACAGAGCCUGCUUGGAAGCUGCAUUCCAUCUGCCAACCUGGCUUCAUUGGUGUUUCUGGCUUCCUGCAGUGGUCAGCUUUGGACCAAGACAGUGAGACUUGACUGCACAGACUCGCUUGUUCCAGAGCUUCUUCAUCUCCGUGGUGCUCUAUGUCCUGCUCUGGGCAGUCCUGUGACAUGUGGGAGCAGAGCUCACUUGAUACCCUUGGAGCAUCACCAGAAGGAAAAAAUCCUCAUCACCCCAGACUGCCCUGAACUGAUGUGGAGCAGAAACACCAGCCCUGCCCAUUCCUAUCACCACCUCAACUGUUUCCCAACACGGAGGGAUCGGCAAGGGCAUCAGGACAUCACCUCUGGCAUGGUGAGCUGGAGCCUUGGCUGGGGAGCGGGUGGUUAUCAUCCGCCCGGAAGACUGGAAAGCAAACACCCAGAGCCUGGAUUGUGUGCUGUGGCCACAGGCCCCUCCCUGGCGGGGGCACUGGGAUGGAGAUCCCGUCAGACCUUCCCACCGGUGCCCUGUGCCUGCCCCAGGGAGUGCCCAGCCUCUGAGAGGGGUGACUGACAUUGGACCAGAUCCCUCAGGGCCUUGUAGGAUGCAGGAUCUG
rnacentral:lncRNA from 1 species